rnacentral:rRNA from 1 species
UGCGUAGGCGGUUUGGUAAGUCAGAUGUGAAAUCCCGGGGCUCAACCCCGGAACUGCAUCCGAUACUGCCAGACUAGAGGACUGGAGAGGUGACUGGAAUUCUCGGUGUAGCAGUGAAAUGCGUGGAGAUCGAGAGGAACACUCGUGGCGUAAGCGAGUCACUGGACAGUAUCUGACGCUGAGGCACGAAGGCCAGGGUAGCGAAAG